rnacentral:tRNA from 1 species
AAUGAUAUUAAAUUGGAGGAAUGUGAAGAGGUAGGAGAUGGCUUGGAGGGAGGCUGGUAAGUUACAGGUGUGUGCUGCUAUGAAGCCUGAAGCGGUCGCUGAAAUAACAAAAGAAAGAGUUAUAACUAACCCGUCAACAGGGAAAAACAAAUUGGAUGAUAUAGGAACCGUGGAAAGACUAUGUUAGAGUAAUUGCUCUUCCGGGCCUCUACCCUGCAGAAAUAUUUGUCAGGUGGCCAAAAAUAUGUGCACGAGAACGAGGAUGACAGCCGUUAUCUGUAACCAUAAACACCUAGGACCAACUUACCGGAAAGAGUAUAAGGAAAGGGACAAAGGAUGGCAGCAACUGCACUGUUAAAAGGCAUUUAGAGGGUUGCAGCCCUUCGAGGACUUCCGGAUUCUCAGCCAUGGGUUUUCCUCCUCCAGAGUCCGCGAUGGCCUUAUGGCCGGCCUCGGCCUCGGCCUCGGCGUCAGCCCUCCGGUGGCGCCCCCGCCAAAGGACGUUUUCUAGGUUCUAAAAAGGCCGCCUCGUCCCUGGGUGGGCUCGAACCACCAACCUCUCGGUUAACAGCCGAGCGCGCUAACCGAUUGCGCCACAGAGACCUGCGGGCAGUCCCCGCCCACGUCCCACUAGAGAGCGAGCUGUCACUCGGCGCUAGGGGGAGCCACCCGCCUUCCGUCGGCGGCGACCGGGCAGGGCGAGGCAGACGCCCGCGGCUCCCGGACGGUUCCUCCCUCCUGUCCCUCCCUCACCCACCUUGGGUGCCGGUGGCGCUCGGCUCACUCCCCUCCACGGCGGUCGGAGCUGGGGAGCUGCGGUGGUGCUGGAGGGGGUGGUCAACAGGGGCAAACGCCCAGGGCCGCGCGGGGCAGCGGGGGGAGGGGGUGGGGGCGAGGUGGCGCGGGCCGCCGGAGAUCCCCAGGACCCCGUGCCGAGGCUCGGGCCGGAUGGGGGUCAGGAGAUGGAGGCUGGGGGUUCUUCGCCGCGCAUCGGCGUCGAGGGGAAGGGGAGGUGUAUCCCCUCCCCAGGGUGGUGGGCCCGCAGGGGACGGCGGCAGCAGCCCUGCGGUUUCUUCGGAAGGAACGCGGCGCCGUACCUGGAACGACUUUGCGUCCAGAGGCCCCGCAGCGGCGGCCGAGCCCGCGGCCGGAAGGGUGGCGCGCCGUGAUCGUAUAGUGGAAGUGGUUCUCCAGGAAGUCACAGAGAGGGGGAUCCGCGCGGGCAGAACCCAGGCCCCGAAUCACCACAGUCGUCGGCCCCCGACCGACCUGCAGGGAGCCGCGGGGCCGCAGUGGCCCGGAGGCGGCGUCUCCGGGUUCCUCACUGCCUGCAGGGGCUGAGAGGCCCGAGAAAACUUCCGGUCGGAUUAGCGACGCCUCCUCCGUAGACCCGCUGAGCCGCUCGAGCCCCGGCUCCGGGGAAUCCGCUUCGGGGCCUUUUUCAGUCAGUUCCUGGCUGGCGUCCUCCCUACCGUGCGCACAGUAGCGCCUCCAGUGACACCGGCUACGCCCUCCGGGACUGUGAGAUGCCGGCGGGCAGCCACCCCACGCCACAAGGGGUUUAUUCCUCAGGAGACCCCCCGAGGGAUCUCGGUCCCACGUCUUGGCCAAGACUGGGGUUUCCUGCCUGUCCUCACAGCUUGAGCCGCGCUGCUGGGAGAGUGGUGAGCGGUGCUGCCUCCGCGGGAUGCGAAUAGCCAGCGUCCCUGACGGCUGAACACGCGGGCACUGUCUUAGCGCUUUGCUGGCCUGCGUGUCUUCUUUUCCCACGGAGCUGUGCCAUGGCCUCUGCCCCCCUAAAACACGGGGGCCAGUUGGCAGGAGCUCCUGACACAUUAUAGUUACAGGUUUGGGGAUUUGCUCGCCUGCUUGUCUUGUCAGAUUCGUCGUGGGAACAUCGUCGCCCUGUCUGUGGCUUGCUGCUUUCACGGUCUUGCUGGCCUCCGCAGGAGCAGAUAUGCUUACGGUUGAUGGGGUCUGAUUCAUCAGGUCUUUUUUUAUAUAUACACAUUUUCCCUGGGUCCUGUUUAGUAAACCGUUCCCUGCCAACAAGUCCCAAAGUCUCCUCAAAAACUGCUUUAGACCGUCAACCUCUAUGUCUCAUGAGGCACCUCCAAUUAAUUUUUGUGUGUAGUGUGAGGUAGAAAUAAAGCUGUUCUCCCCGCCCCCAACAAACAUUGAUCCUAUUUUCUUUCCACGAGGACAUGUUUUCAUUGAAAGCGAACUCACCGGGUCAGCUGUUCGGCAGUUUCAGGGUCUCGGUCCAUUCAUCUGGUUGUGUCUCCUGAUGCCACUGGCACAUUGCGCGGUCCGAAGGGGCUCAGAGUCGGUCCUCACGUCGGUAGCGUAGCGUCAGCCCCCCCCCCCCGCCCCCCGGGUCUGUGCGUUUUCACACAGCGCAGUACGUUUUGAAACGAC